rnacentral:rRNA from 1 species
AUACGGAGGAUCCGAGCGUUAUCCGGAUUUAUUGGGUUUAAAGGGUGCGCAGGCGGCCAUUUAAGUCAGCGGUUAAAUCGUGGGGCUCAACCCCAUUCUGCCGUUGAUACUGGGUGGCUUGAUUGCGGUCGAGGUUGGCGGAAUUCGUUGUGUAGCGGUGAAAUGCAUAGAUAUGACGAAGAACACCGAUUGCGUAGGCAGCUGACCAGACCGCAAAUGACGCUCAUGCACGAAAGUGCGGGGAUCGAACAGGAUUAGAUACCCUGGUAGUCCGCACAGUAAACGAUGAAUACUUGUUUUCGGCGAUAUAAUGUCGGAGGCAAAGCGAAAGCGAUAAGUAUUCCACCUGGGGAGUACGCCGGCAACGGUGAAACUCAAAGGAAUUGACGGGGG